rnacentral:rRNA from 1 species
GAUGAACGCUGGCGGCAUGCCUAAUACAUGCAAGUCGAGCGAACAGACGAGGAGCUUGCUCCUCUGACGUUAGCGGCGGACGGGUGAGUAACACGUGGAUAACCUACCUAUAAGACUGGGAUAACUUCGGGAGACCGGAGCUAAUACCGGAUAAUAUAUUGAACCGCAUGGUUCAAUAGUGAAAGACGGUUUUGCUGUCACUUAUAGAUGGAUCCGCGCCGCAUUAGCUAGUUGGUAAGGUAACGGCUUACCAAGGCAACGAUGCGUAGCCGACCUGAGAGGGUGAUCGGCCACACUGGAACUGAGACACGGUCCAGACUCCUACGGGAGGCAGCAGUAGGGAAUCUUCCGCAAUGGGCGAAAGCCUGACGGAGCAACGCCGCGUGAGUGAUGAAGGUCUUCGGAUCGUAAAACUCUGUUAUUAGGGAAGAACAAAUGUGUAAGUAACUAUGCACGUCUUGACGGUACCUAAUCAGAAAGCCACGGCUAACUACGUG